GAUGAACGCUGGCGGCGUGCCUAAUACAUGCAAGUCGAGCGAACAGACGAGGAGCUUGCUCCUCUGACGUUAGCGGCGGACGGGUGAGUAACACGGGGAUAACCUACCUAUAAGACUGGGAUAACUUCGGGAAACCGGAGCUAAUACCGGAUAAUAUAUUGAACCGCAUGGUUCAAUAGUGAAAGACGGUUUUGCUGUCACUUAUAGAUGGAUCCGCGCCGCAUUAGCUAGUUGGUAAGGUAACGGCUUACCAAGGCAACGAUGCGUAGCCGACCUGAGAGGGUGAUCGGCCACCUUGGAACUGGGACACGGUCCAGACUCCUAAGGGAGGCAGCAGUAGGGAAUCUGACGCAAUGGGCGAAAGCAUGACGGAGCAACGCCGAGUGAGUGAUGAAGGUCUUCGGAUCGUAAAACUCUGUUAUUAGGGAAGAACAAAUGUCGAAGUAACUAUGCACGUCUUGACGGUACCUAAUCAGAAAGCCACGGCUAACUACGUG
rnacentral:rRNA from 1 species